rnacentral:rRNA from 1 species
UGGUGAACCAGCGGAGGGAUCAUUACUGAGUUUACGCUCUACAACCCUUUGUGAACAUACCUAUAACUGUUGCUUCGGCGGGUAGGGUCUCCGUGACCCUCCCGGCCUCCCGCCCCCGGGCGGGUCGGCGCCCGCCGGAGGAUAACCAAACUCUGAUUUAACGACGUUUCUUCUGAGUGGUACAAGCAAAUAAUCAAAACUUUUAACAACGGAUCUCUUGGUUCUGGCAUCGAUGAAGAACGCAGCGAAAUGCGAUAAGUAAUGUGAAUUGCAGAAUUCAGUGAAUCAUCGAAUCUUUGAACGCACAUUGCGCCCGCCAGCAUUCUGGCGGGCAUGCCUGUUCGAGCGUCAUUUCAACCCUCAAGCUCUGCUUGGUGUUGGGGCCCUACAGCUGAUGUAGGCCCUCAAAGGUAGUGGCGGACCCUCCCGGAGCCUCCUUUGCGUAGUAACUUUACGUCUCGCACUGGGAUCCGGAGGGACUCUUGCCGUAAAACCCCCCAAUUUUCCAAAGGUUGACCUCGGAUCAGGUAGGAAUACCCGCUGAACUUAAGCAUA